rnacentral:misc_RNA from 1 species
AAUGUCAAAAUUAAAUUGUCAAACUGUUUCAAAAUGGUGUAUUGUGAACUGUGUUUUGCUUGAUUUAUAAAAAUUAAAUGAAAUUUCUCAGUUAUACUGUGUUUGUUUAGUAAAACGCAAAUAAGUAAACUUCAAAACGAUGACUACCUUAAUAGAUAAAAUAGAGAUGCUAAUCAAAAGGGAAAAGACAACACCGGAGCGGAAAAAAGAGGAAACCACAAAGUCCUCAAGUGAGAUACUAUCAGAACUUUUCAGCGCUUUCAACGCUGACCCACCGAAGAUCGAGGAUAUAUCUUACAAGAAAUCCAAAAAAAGCAAGAAGAAACACAAGAAAGAAAAGAAGAAACGCAGUCGCAGCUCUAGUUCCAGCAGUGACUCUGAGAGUAGUGAGUAUUCUCAUAAACGCAAGAAAAGGAAAAAGAGCAAAUCGAAAAAGCGCAAAGAAGUCCGCUCACCGUCUCCGCGCCGUUCGCUCACACCUUUAUUAGUCAAAGUUGAACCAGAAAAAAAGAUUAAAAAAGAAAACAUUAAAAUAGAACACCAUACACCAGAAAAACAAGAUGUGCAAAUAAAAAGAGAGAAAGAAAAUAAAGAAAGUAAGUGUUCUGUUAAGACUGAAGAUAUAUCCACUCCUAAGAGAGACUUAAGUGACUCGGUUAGUAAUAUUGAUGCAAGCUCAAUACCUAUGCCAGAAUCUCCAAAAGCAAAUAAAUUAGAUUGUAACGAUUUGCGUCUCAAGCUUGAUAAAAAGUUAGACGCCACAGCUGAGAGUGAUAAAGCGAAGAGUAAAAUACAAAUAAAGAACUUGAAGUUUAGUGCAGUGUUCGAGGAGACAGUGAAAAAAGCUGAAGAAGAAGCCAGAAAGAAGGCUGAAAAAGAGGAAGAAGGGGAACUAACUGACUCAUCCAGCAGCAGUGUAAAGGAGGAUGUAUCAAACUUGCAUUUCCCAAAAUCUGCAGAUCCAGGAGGAAUACUGAAGAAACAAGCUGCUGAAGAAACUAGAGUGGUUGAAGAAAAAACUUCAUCUAGCAAACAUAAAUCUUCAGAAAGCACCCACAAAUCUUCACGUAGAGAUAGAAGUAGAUCUAGAAAGAGAUCACGCAGUAAGUCACGUCGUUCAAGAUCAGGUUCAGCUUCAAAGAAAAGCAGGCACUCCAAAUCAAGCAAAUCUAGGCACAGAAGUCGUUCAAAAUCUAGGAGCUCAAGAUCUAGACGCAGGACUCCUUCUAGAGUGCGACAUAGAUCUCCUCCUAAGUUGGCACAUAGAAGUAGAGUGUCUCCAAGGCAUAGAGGACGAAGAUCUAGAUCUCCAACUGGUGUGAAACUUGCUGACAGUGAAAAGAAGCGUCUGCUAGAAGUAGCGCGGCGCAAUGCCAUCAACAUGCUCAAAAACGGCGCAGUCCCCGCCGGAGCGGCUGCCUUGCCUCCGCACACUAGGAACCAGGUCAUGGCUGCCAUACAGUCUGGAGGUAAAUCAGUGGACGAACUGACAGACUUCUGUAAGCAUCUGUCAAAGAAGGAGGCCCUCGGAGAGCUGUCAUCAGUUUCCUCCAAUGAUGAGGACAUGAGUGAGAAUGAGGACACCAUCGCCUUCCACCAUCCCUUCCUCGUUAAAGAGAAGGCGCCUAUUGUUAUGAAUAUACGGGGUGGAGCCCCAUUACCAAUAAAGUCGACUACGCUGCCCAUUGCCAACAAGGAAGAGCUCCGGCUACAGUUCCCCGUGUCCUCGGGCUCGCAACACAGAGAGAAGGCAUUGGAAUGGGUGCCUGUCUCACCUAAAAAGGAUAACAUGCAAGUCGCUAAGAUUAAUACAAAAUCGUCAGAUAAACCAAGUUCGUCUACAGAGAAAACAAGUCCGGAGCCUCUGGCCUUACCGCCACCGCCGACGUCUGCACCAGCUUAUAUGAAGAGUUUCACUACAGGGAGUCAAUUAGCGUCAGUUCCUGCAUUGCCCGCACCGGGACCGCAGGCAUAUCCUCCGGGUAUUGACAAUCAAAAACUGCAAGACGUGGCGGCGCUGGUGACACAAAAGCUGUCGCUCAUUCGUAAGGAACAGGAACAAAUCGAAAUGUCCAGUAUGACAGGUUUCGGUUGGUCGGCCAAGUUGUCGAACCUGGGACAAUUCACGGGCUCCACGGGCGCGAACAUCCUUACUCCGCGCGAGCUGGCCAGCGGCACGCAAGCGUGGGCCAAGAAGCUCGAAGCGCCGCUCGGGAUACGCGUUACCUACUCUAUGGUCCUGAGGCUUUGUCUGUAAAAGAAAUGGAGUCGCGUGCCACGGUAGACCAACCACAGCCCAACAAUAGGUGCAUAUUAUGUACCAGAGUUACAGGAUCAGUUGGUACGCGC